UAUGUUAUAGGCGUCACGGGGGAAGAAGGGGAAAGGCUAGCAGGGGAAGCCUGAGGGAAGGUGGGGGAGAAGGGAACGCGCGAAGCUAGCCCUAGCUACCGCCGCCUCCGCCUGCUGGGCUGCCGCCGCAGUCGCUGCGACCUCUUCAAGGCGGAGAUGCUUUGCGCGCGGUCCAAGAUGCACUAGCCCUCGAGCGCCCUCUUCGCCACCAAAGCCCACGAGUUCUAACUGGCGAGCCUCGGCAGCCUCGAGGUGGAGUCGCUCCUGGGGCAGACCAUGAGGGUCGUCCUCCAGUUCUCGGAUGAGGUCGCGUAGCGGCUCCCGUUGGCGAGGUGGCCGCCGGAGUGGAAGCAGUGGUUCCGGAUGCCGUAGCGUCCAACGUAGUUCAAGAACCUCAGUAUAAUGGACUAAAAUCAGUGGUUCGCGGCAGUUUAGCCAACGUAGACACCGGUACGAUAUAUAACAUAUCUACUCUCGGUCUACUAGUGGUAGGGCGUGAGUAGACAUGUCUGUCUACAACGUUGGAGAUUCUUGCUCGAUUCCAUGUUCUUCGAAAACCGGUCACAACUAGAGUGUUUCCUAAAGAAGAUAUCGAUGUGUAUGGGUUAGUACGUCUCGAACGUCGUCUUACAGUGGAGACGUCCCUACUUCCUUUGUGGAAUACUUUUAAACAAACAUACCUUGUGAAAAGACUGUCUCGGCUAAGCGAGUUCCACGGCGUUACGAGACACCUCACAUCGAGAGCAAGUACCUGUGAAAUUCGUCCAGUUCGACAGUCAUAAACCGUCCCUCAAUUUACAAUAAGAGUAAAGCUCUUCUAGAGCCGUAAAACGACCCUGUGCCAUAAACUUUUCUCCGCACUUACUGGUACCUUUUCAACGUUUGCUACAACUUUGUCUCGUUUAUCAUAAACUUCUCCUUCGACCAAGGACCUUCCCUUCUUACUCACGUUAUCAUGUCUACGCUCCUAGCUAGGGAGAGAAAACCAGUGUUCUCCGACCGGCUGAAUCAGGAUUCGGACUAUAAAAACACGUCUCCAUACUAGGAUGAAUACUUCGUUGGUUCAAUGUAAAACUACUAGAGCGAGUCGCUAUACCUGUCGGAUAGUAUUAUGAAUUAAAUUAUUUCUGACAACUUUUUUCCGGUUCCCUCUACUACGAGUCCGCACUUAAGAAAUUACGUCAACCUAUAGAAUUAGUCUUACAGGGUCUUCUCUCCUUUGACUCUAAGUAUGUGACCCUAAAAGUAUUUAAACGCUUUUCGUUCAGGCGUUUACACGACCCACAAAAUCCUCCACACCGCUCACUUCGUGACCUGGAAUGACCUAAAAUGAUGUCACCCUUCGGUUUUCAAGUCUUUUCUUCCAGAUAGGUCGAAUCAGCUUGAUCGUGACGUUCCCUACAACUUUAUUCUCGAUCAAGACCUCUGGAAGGCUCUGAGAGAUCGUUACGACUACGUGAACCAAGAUAUCGAAGAGUCCUAUACUCUUUUCUCCUAUCGUUUGUACUCGGAGAACCACUACGAGGAACAAUAGUUUGACCUCAAGAAGCAUGCUUAACGUAUCUAACGGACCUAGCGUGUUUACAGCGUGUCAUACGAAUACCGGAACGACGAAACCCCUCCGUUGAAGUACGCUACCCUGACUGUCUACAAAGUUUUUAGGUGGGUCUAUCGUCGUAGCGAAGUCGAAAUUACCUUUACAUGGUCUCGUACCCACUACGUGAACGAGUAGUCAUGCCUCCGAGACGUCGUGUAUUAUGCCAAAAGGGGCUCUCCGUUCCCUUCACCUUCCGAUGAUGAGUUAGAUCCCUCAAAGACUUUAGUUAAUUUGCUAUAAUGUCGUUACGAAUGUGGCUGCCACUCUUUGUUCUACGAUAUUUAAAUAAAGACCCAAUAAAGGUUGGAGUUCUUCCUUUUGGCCGAGAGACCCUAGACCUAUGACUAAUGAUAGAGGUGCACUGUUGUCGACCACUACUAUCGAUGGUAGAAUCAAGGGGUGUACCUUUAUUACACGGGCCCCCUAGACCUCUACGGUACUCGGGUUCUGGGUGUAACUCGGGACACGGUCGUACAUUUCUCCUGAAAAGAUCCUACUUUGAAUGAAGUAAGCUGUUUGAAUAUCUUUCUUGGACAUCAAGCUAUUCCUUACACUCCGAAGUGACACUACGACUAGAUUCCGGUUCACCACCACAACCUUGAAGACGUUACCGUGGGCUACGUCGACUCUAUGUUGAAUUUUCGGGUUUGACCAACAAACCAGUUUCUUUUGUACGUCUCUGUCAAGGUUGUUGUUUUCAAUGAGGUCAACUUUUACGCUUGCUCCCUUUGUUUCUACUCUGCUUACACAGAGACACACCCCUCGACUUGACCGAAAGGAGGAGCCGUCUAAGUACGCUCCUCCUGUUGAAGUCUUCCAUAGAUCGUAAGUGCUGUCGCCUACAUCUGUUACCGACCAUGUCACCUCGUGACGAUAUGCUAGUUCUACUCUUGUCGCCACGAAUAUUUGUAAUGAGGCUUAAAACGGUCCCAGGUCAGUACCUAGGAAAACUCGUGCUGGGUCUCUUUCUUCCCGUGAUGUCCCUCCGAGAAUCGUACCUGUAGCUUGAAUGCCUGCUACGUGUCCACCUCCGUCUUUACUUUCGGCGAGACCUGCUGAUGGUCCACUAUCCAAGUCUGGACUCGUAGUAGGGCAGCACGCCGAGGGAGCGGCUCCUGGGUUCGGUCGACUGUUCCACCUAGUAACCCCUGCUCUUCGACGCGCAGCAGCCGCGACACGUCAUCGAGCCAACGGCGGCUCCCUAACAUGUCUAACGAUGUUGUAAGCAGUUAAAAACCAAAGUAGCACGCACAUAUAUAUUCCACGAAUUUACAUGUUUUUCUUCCAUAAGCAGGUAAAAAAAACAACCCUCGUUUGUCUACUAGUAAGAACCUCCGGAAACACCUACCUAUAUCCUCCUAACCUGUUCUGUCUGUCUGUCUGUCUGUGCCCAAACCGGCCAUUUGGUUCCUACUGUUCCACAUACAUAUUAUAAGUGCUAACAGAGUACAGUAAGACAACUAAUUAAACGUGUAGAGGUUAUCAAAGUUCUUUACGACGUUGAAGAAAAAAUAAAUAACAUUGAUUACGAUGUUGAACAGCAACUCAAUAAACCAUGAAGGAAAUCGUCGGAGAAACAAACAAACAAAUGGCUACUUUCGCUGGCUGUAGCAGUAGGCCUAGGAAUAGGCGUCACGGCUAGAUAACAGAAAAGAGGCUCUUAUUUGAUACUCGGCGACAACGAAAGAACAACUCGUAAACCAGAAAGGUAAACGACACGA
rnacentral:rRNA from 1 species